GCCACUUCUAUAACAUCAAUAGUGAAAACAUAAAGUCAAGCUAUAGCCCCCAAUUAUGGCCAAUGAUACUACUGUAGCGCCACUUCUAACAUCAAGAGAGAACAAUCACGAAAAUGAUGAGCUCCAAAGCCCAAAAUUCAGACCAUUUUCACAUGGUUCGUCGUCUAAUAAUUCAGAUGAUAUCAAAGAAAUCGACGGAGUUAAAGACUUAGUUCGAGAAUUUUCCGCAGAAUCGAAGAAACUAUGGAACCUUGCUGCUCCAGCCAUUUUCACUUCCCUUUGCCAAUACUCAAUUGGUGCCAUAACUCAAGUAUUUGCUGGUCAUGUUGGUACCAUUCAACUAGCUGCUAUCUCUAUUGAAAACUCUGUCAUCGCUGGUUUUUCUUUUGGCGUAAUGUUGGGAAUGGGAAGUGCACUGGAGACAUUAUGCGGACAAGCAUAUGGAGCAAAGCAAUUAGAAAUGCUCGGAACUUAUAUGCAACGAUCUUGGAUAAUCCUCACCUCUACCGCUUUAAUUCUACUGUUCCCUUAUAUUUUUGCCACGCAACUACUCAGAUUCAUCGGUCAGACUUCCAAUAUAUCAAAGUGGGCAGGUACAUUUGCCAUAUGGAUGAUUCCACAAUUAUUUGCGUAUGCACUAAACUUUCCGAUUCAAAAAUUCUUGCAAGCUCAGAGCAAGAUUAUGGUGACAGCUGUUAUAGCGGGGUUUGCUCUUGCCGGACACACUUUGUUUAGUUGGCUUUUGAUGCUCAAGUUAAGGUGGGGACUUGUGGGUGCGGCGGUGGUGCUGAACAGUUCAUGGUGGUUCUUAGUGGUGGCUAAGUUGGUGUAUAUAUUUAAUGGGGCUUGUGGAGAAGCUUGGUCUGGAUUUUCUAUGAAGGCUUUUCAAAAUCUUUGGGAAUUUGUUAAACUAUCUUUUGCAUCUGCUGUAAUGCUCUGCUUAGAGAUAUGGUACUUCAUGGCAUUAAUUCUUUUUGCUGGAUACCUCAAGAAUGCUGAAGUGGCCGUGGAUGCAAUUUCUA
rnacentral:misc_RNA from 1 species